rnacentral:sRNA from 1 species
GUUCAGGCUUCCAGGCCCUGGUGCUGACAGCCCUGUUGGUGGGGCUGGGGAUGUCAGCGGGGCUGCCUCUGGGGGCGCUCCCGGAAAUGCUCCUGCCCUUGGCGUUUGUCGCCACCCUCACCGCUUUCAUCUUCAGCCUCUUUCUCUACAUGAAGGCGCAGGUAGCCCCAGUUUCGGCCCUGGCACCUGGGGGGAACUCAGGUGAGAGGUGUCCUGGGGUGGAGAUGGAGGCAGAUUGGGGCGUCUGCCUGUACAUUCACUCUCCAAUGUUCUCCAGGCAAUCCGAUUUACGACUUUUUUCUGGGACGAGAGCUCAACCCUCGUAUCUGUUUCUUCGACUUCAAAUAUUUCUGUGAACUGCGACCCGGCCUCAUCGGCUGGGUAUGUUGGGCUUGACUGAGCUGGCCUCAGGCCAGGGGGAGGGUUAGGGUGGGUGAGCAGCGCUUGGGCAGGGCAGGGCCAAAACUGUGCAGAUGCGAGUCAUUAACCAUUCAUAUUCCACAAACAUUUGUUCAAUCCACCUGUGCCUAGGUACUGGGAGACAAAAAUAAAGUUAGAGGCAAAAAAAC